rnacentral:rRNA from 2 species
CAGAUGGGAGCUUGCUCCCUGAUGUUAGCGGCGGACGGGUGAGUAACACGUGGGUAACCUGCCUGUAAGACUGGGAUAACUCCGGGAAACCGGGGCUAAUACCGGAUGCUUGUUUGAACCGCAUGGUUCAAACAUAAAAGGUGGCUUCGGCUACCACUUACAGAUGGACCCGCGGCGCAUUAGCUAGUUGGUGAGGUAACGGCUCACCAAGGCAACGAUGCGUAGCCGACCUGAGAGGGUGAUCGGCCACACUGGGACUGAGACACGGCCCAGACUCCUACGGGAGGCAGCAGUAGGGAAUCUUCCGCAAUGGACGAAAGUCUGACGGAGCAACGCCGCGUGAGUGAUGAAGGUUUUCGGAUCGUAAAGCUCUGUUGUUAGGGAAGAACAAGUACCGUUCGAAUAGGGCGGUACCUUGACGGUACCUAACCAGAAAGCCACGGCUAACUACGUGCCAGCAGCCGCGGUAAUACGUAGGUGGCAAGCGUUGUCCGGAAUUAUUGGGCGUAAAGGGCUCGCAGGCGGUUUCUUAAGUCUGAUGUGAAAGCCCCCGGCUCAACCGGGGAGGGUCAUUGGAAACUGGGGAACUUGAGUGCAGAAGAGGAGAGUGGAAUUCCACGUGUAGCGGUGAAAUGCGUAGAGAUGUGGAG